rnacentral:rRNA from 1 species
UACGUAGGGUGCGAGCGUUGUCCGGAAUUAUUGGGCGUAAAGAGCUUGUAGGCGGUCUGUCGCGUCUGCUGUGAAAAUCCGGGGCUCAACCCCGGACUUGCAGUGGGUACGGGCAGACUAGAGUGUGGUAGGGGAGACUGGAAUUCCUGGUGAUAGCGGUGAAAUGCGCAGAUAUCAGGAGGAACACCGAUGGCGAAGGCAGGUCUCUGGGCC